GACGAACGCUGGCGGCGUGCUUAACACAUGCAAGUCGAACGGAAAGGCCCUGCUUUUGUGGGGUGCUCGAGUGGCGAACGGGUGAGUAACACGUGAGUAACCUGCCCUUGACUUUGGGAUAACUUCAGGAAACUGGGGCUAAUACCGGAUAGGAGCUCCUGCUGCAUGGUGGGGGUUGGAAAGUUUCGGCGGUUGGGGAUGGACUCGCGGCUUAUCAGCUUGUUGGUGGGGUAGUGGCUUACCAAGGCAUUGACGGGUAGCCGGCCUGAGAGGGUGACCGGCCACAUUGGGACUGAGAUACGGCGCUGACUCCUACGGGAGGCAGCAGGUGGGAAUAUUGCACAAUGGGCGGAAGCCUGAUGCAGCAACGCCGCGUGCGGGAUGAAGGCCUUCGGGUUGUAAACCGCUUUCGCCUGUGACGAAGCGUGAGUGACGGUAAUGGGUAAAGAAGCACCGGCUAACUACGUG
rnacentral:rRNA from 1 species